UCCAUGUCAACCCUCUCAGCGGAUUGGCGAUUCGGAUUAAGAUCGCAGCGCCAAUGUGGUAUCAAAUUAAACCAAGCUAAGAGCCGUUGUGAAGUUAGUCGUAUAUUGAUGACAGUUGAGGUUAUGGUUUCAUCAAUGAUUUUUCAUUGUUUAUUGUUUAUCCUUGUAUUUUAUUUUGGAUUCAUUUGGAUUUCGUUUGCUGUUUUUUGUGAACUUUAUAAACUUUACCACAAUGCAAAGUGAUUCUUUAAGGAAAUUAUUAUUGGAAACUCUAGAUGUUGGAGAAAGAUAUUUAUUGAAGCUGAAAAUAAUUGGAGAUUUAGAUCCAUAUACAGUUCAGUCAGAAUUGGAUUUUACAGUAAAGUGCAUUCCACCAAAUUACUAUUAUAGAUAUUUAUACAUAUCUGGUGGAGGCUCACAGUUACUACUCUAAGCAGCAGAUGAAAGCAUACAAAAGCCUUCCAGGCACAUAAAUAUUUUACAGCUGGAUUUGUUUUGAAAGCUGGAGUAAAAAUUCUUAAUGAUUUCUAUAUUAUUGUUGGAAAGAUGAAGGGUUCCCAAAAAGCUAUUGCUAAAUCACUAAAUGUUUGGGUGGGGUGAUAGCCAGUUAUGAUGACAUAGCAAAUGCACAUUGUAUGUGUAUGGCCGGUAAUAGUGAAGUUUGCAGCCGAGUAUGCCCAAAGCAAGAUAGAAGAAGAAGAACCCAAUGCAUGUACAUAUGUUAGUGAGCUCGCACACCAAAGCACUAUCCUACAUCACAUAUGGCAUGAAUUGCGAAAAGAUAUGCACUGAGUGGUCACUCGAAAGUCACCGAAAACCAGAUGUGACACUCAGUGCGUAUCUUUUCACAAUGCAUGCCACAUGUGAUGUACUAUAUUGCUUUGGUGUGCGAGCUCCCUUACAGCUACACGGUUUGGAGAUAGCAACAUGUGCAUUAUCUGAUGGAAAAACUAAUGAGUCUUGAAACUGUUUGGUCAGAGUGCUUAUUGUGCUCUCUAAAUGAACUGAAAUAUAAUAAGACGGCUUUGUGAUGCAGCGAUAUGAAAAUGGUUAUUCAUUUUUAAUUAUAAUGUACUUAUUCAUCAUGAGUAAUUAUGUAUUGGUAAAAAUAAAACGGGAUAAUACCCGAAGGUUGGCUGUAUACCAUCUAGUUAAAUAAAAUUAAC